GACAUUACUGCAGCCGGCGUUUAGCAGACCCGCAUCGUCAAGCGUCGGGCACCAAAACUAGGAAGAAGAUUGGGGCCAUAGGAUGGCAGAGUGAUAUCGUCAGCACAGGGGAGGCGUCGGAAAGUAGGCUAAAGUUUAUUAUUUUAAUGGCAUCACUCCGGGCAGAAUAAAAAAAAGCUAGAGUUCUCCUUUAAUAUUAUCAAACAGUCCCUUUAAGUGCAAAAACGGAGAAACACUCUGAAAGAGAGGCUCUAGCUUGGCAGUUGCACUCUGAAUAACCAUGGGCAUCUUCUUAUUCAAACAGCCACGACAAGUGAUGUAACUGGCUACAAAGAAAAGAGGGUUUGGGCUGGAUUUCCAAGUAAACACUGAUUUCAACUGUAUCCUCAGUGGAAAUAUAUGGCAGAGAGCCAGUGGCUUCCUAUCCGACCACUAACCUUUGUAAGCAACAGGCUUAGGCCAGUUUCACGAAUUAUGUCGAUCAGACACACAAUCUCAUGCAAUACAUCUGGGGUAAUAUACCAUGCUACCUGCCCUUGUGGUUACGUUUACGUAGGCAUGACCACUCAUGAAUUUAAGUAGAGAACCAGAGAACAAGUCCUUGGAAUAACAGCAGCGAAACAUGAAACGGAUCUUACGCACCUGACGACGGUUCCUCAACAUUUUUAAACAAUCCAUGACUGAUCUGGGAGGCCUUCAGGUCAGCCAGCCAUCCUUCUCGUGCGAUAUUAUUCGUCUGUAUACGCUUAUUGUAUUUUUAGAUCCUGCCAUGCAUCCUGCCUAGUGUCUACUGCCAUAUUAAAAAAGUUAACCUGUGGUAUUUUAUUUUUUGCCUCCCAUGUGCACCUAUCACUUUACUG